CUCGCCUCGUCCAACUCCCACUCCCAUUCUAGCCGCCAGACGAACCUUGGCCCCUAGCCCCUUGCCCAAUGCCCCUCGAUCCCCACAGCCGCCGCACGGCCUCGCUCCUCCUUCCCUCCGGCCGCACCCUCUCCUUGCUCGCAGCUGCCUCCUUCCCACCUCCACCCGAGCUCUGCCUUCCUCGCCCGCCUCCUCCUCCUUGCCAUCGGCGGAAGCCUCAAGCCCCGGCAUCACUGCCACCAGAUCCACCUCGCAACCUCUCUUCCUCCCCUGUCUGACUGCUGCGUGGUCGUGUCAGGCCCAUGCCGGGGCCGCCGCCACCGCUGCAGCCGCCGCCGCUGGAUGGCUCCGUCGGUCCCUCCUGCUCCAGAUCGAAAACUGAGAGAGCGACGGGAGGGAAGAAGGGGAUCGGGGGAGGGUAGAGCACGGAAGAGAAGGCGAGCUCGCGGCUGACCGCAUCAUGCGAGGCGGACGGGUGAGAAACAUUUGUGGUCGUGCCGUUGGCGACUGGAGAUUUGGAAUGCGGCUAUGGCCAUGGGCGGUCCUGGGGCGGGAUCGCGUGUGUGCUGCCUCCAACCUGCUUUGCUAUUCCUGCGAUCUCAAGGUAUGGUAUCGAUCUGCUUUGCGCGUUGCUUUAGGAAAACUGAUUAGUUAUCUAUACAUAGACGUGUGCAGAUCUGAGGACGAAGGGAAGAAUAAGAAGAAUUUAGCUAGAGAUUUGAAGAAGAUCAAGAAGGCCAAAAAAGGUGGAGACGAGUCAUGGAUCCUGCUGGCAAUGGCUACUGGUUGUAGAUGGAAUUUAAGCAGAGGAAUAGCAAAAGUUGUGCCCCAUGAGGCCAGCGACCAAAGGCCCGAUUCGUUACCGUUGAAGGUUAUGUUCAGCUUGGCCCUUCAUCUGGGUGUAUGGUUAUCCUCAUCUCUAUACGCGCAUGCAUGGACGAGCUUCAUUCUGAUGAGGAGAAAACAAUCAUGUUGAGUUUUAAUCAGAACAGGUGGACAACCAUGUAAAAGGUUGGAAGAACUGUUCUAUUUUUGCAUCUGCAACCAGCUGCUGCUGCUGAAGAUUUGCUCUCCUUUUCCAAUGCAUGUAGUACAGGAUGAAGUGGCAGGCUGGAAGAAGUCCAAAGCCAGUUUCCGUCGGAUGAGAAUUCAUAGCAAGAUGGAGUCGAUUCAAGCACCACAUGCUGGAAAUACUGCACCAUAGUGACAUAAAGGGCAUCGCAUUCAGGAAACCUAAUGAUUCCAUAUACACCUUCCCAAUGCCUGAUUGCAUAUGCCAACAAGAUGGAAUAUGCUCUAGGCGUUAGCAUACAUAACUGAAGGAUGCAUAUCCUCUGCCUUUGUGCAACAAAGGCACCAAAGGCAUGGCAUUGUUGACUGCAUGAUCAGGAUUUGAUGGUCAUGAUGAAAACUGGAGUGAAAUAAAGCAUUUGGCGCUUCUCAGGAGAUUCUGAAACCCUCUAGCAUACCCCAAACCGUUCGAUUCUGGAUAUAAUGGUCAAAAGGUGCCUAAUGACAAUGAAUUCCAUAGGAUCAGAAAUUGAGAGGAUGCGAGGGAUUUUGUAAAGUUAGUAAUCUGUAGGUAGUCCACCAUAUAGCAAUCUCCAUUUGUUCAAUGGGUUGUAGAUAUGAGUACAACCUGAGUGCCUCGAUGUAUAUUUGAAAAUAACAAAGA